rnacentral:rRNA from 1 species
AUUGAACGCUGGCGGCAGGCCUAACACAUGCAAGUCGAACGAGUGGCGGACGGGUGAGUAAUGUCUGGGAAACUGCCUGAUGGAGGGGGAUAACUACUGGAAACGGUAGCUAAUACCGCAUACCAUCGGAUGUGCCCAGAUGGGAUUAGCUAGUAGGUGGGGUAACGGCUCGCCUAGGCGACGCUCCCUAGCUGGUCUGAGAGGAUGACAAGACACAAGGGAACUGAGAAACGGUCCAGAUCCCUCCGGGAGGAAGCAGUGGGGAAUAUUGCACAAUGGGCGCAAGCCGGAUGAAGCCAUGCCGAGGGUAUGAAGAAGGUCUUCGGGUUGUAAAGUACUUUCAGAGGGGAGGCGUUACCCGCAGAAGAAGCACCGGUUACCCCCGUGCCAGAAGCCGCGGUAAUU